rnacentral:antisense_RNA from 1 species
CUUCAGCGAACCGAGCCACAGCGGGGUUUCGCGAUCCUGGCCGUAGGUGGCCAGCAGCGCCUGUGCCUC